UACGUAGGUGGCGAGCGUUGUCCGGAUUUAUUGGGCGUAAAGGGCGCGCAGGUGGUGCGGUAAGACUGCCGUGAAAUCUCCUGGCUCAACUGGGAGGGUGCGGUGGAGACUGCCGGACUAGAGGCACUCAGAGGCCGGUGGAAUUCCCGGUGUAGUGGUGAAAUGCGUAGAGAUCGGGAGGAACACCAGUGGCGAAGGCGGCCGGCUGGGGGUGACCUGACGCUGAGGCGCGAAAGCGUGGGGAGCGAACAGG
rnacentral:rRNA from 1 species